UUUGGAUGGUUGAGAGCAUGAAUGGCAACAGGGUGAAGUGUCAGUCCUCAGUCUGUGGGGAGCACCAUCCAGUCUGGCCAUCAAAUAGCAGCCUGGUUGUCAGAAGUAAUGCUUACCGCCAUCACAGUGCACGAAGAACUCUGAAUACUCAGGCAGAACAGUCCCUCUCUGAUCACAAUCAUGCAAGCCUCAUUGAUAAUUACUUCAAUACAGAGAGGAUCCAUGCUUCCCUACGCAAAUCGCUGGCUUUCUUUGUUCAAAUUACUGCCAAGUUCCCCCUAGUAAUCAUCUUCCUUCUCAUAGUGCUAUAUGCCAUCCCUGCUAGUGCUGCUGUCUUGGCCCUGUACAUCCUUGUCACACUCCUGUUUGCAUUGCCAUCAUUUUUGAUCCUGUACUUUGCAUAUCCUAGCUUGGAUUGGCUUGUCAGAGAGAUCUUUGCUUAGAGUUUUUCCCUUCCAUCCAAGCCAGAGCUAGAGCCUCACAAGGUUAUUAGCCAGUGAAGGGCAUGAACUAUAUGUAUUGUCAGCCAGUUAUUGUUUGCAAUGAUGUACAAAAUGGU
rnacentral:lncRNA from 1 species